rnacentral:rRNA from 1 species
GAUGAACGCUGGCGGCGUGCCUAAUACAUGCAAGUCGAGCGAACAGAUGAGGAGCUUGCUCCUCUGACGUUAGCGGCGGACGGGUGAGUAACACGUGGAUAACCUACCUAUAAGACUGGGAUAACUUCGGGAAACCGGAGCUAAUACCGGAUAAUAUAUUGAACCGCAUGGUUCAAUAGUGAAAGACGGUUUUGCUGUCACUUAUAGAUGGAUCCGCGCCGCAUUAGCUAGUUGGUAAGGUAACGGCUUACCAAGGCAACGAUGCGUAGCCGACCUGAGAGGGUGAUCGGCCACACUGGAACUGAGACACGGUCCAGACUCCUACGGGAGGCAGCAGUAGGGAAUCUUCCGCAAUGGGCGAAAGCCUGACGGAGCAACGCCGCGUGAGUGAUGAAGGUCUUCGGAUCGUAAAACUCUGUUAAUAGGGAAGAACAAAUGUGUAAGUAACUAUGCACGUCUUGACGGUACCUAAUCAGAAAGCCACGGCUAACUACGUG